AAAACUUUUAACAACGGAUCUCUUGGUUCUGGCAUCGAUGAAGAACGCAGCGAAAUGCGAUAAGUAAUGUGAAUUGCAGAAUUCAGUGAAUCAUCGAAUCUUUGAACGCACAUUGCGCCCCCNGGUAUUCCGGGGGGCAUGCCUGUUCGAGCGUCAUUU
rnacentral:rRNA from 1 species